ACGGCUGAAAAAGGUUGCUGACCCCUGUUCUAAACCAUCGGGGGGGGAAAGAAUCCCACUGGAGCAUCCCAUCACCACAUUCCCUAUCUAACUUCAGCACCAACAGUCUCUCCUUGCUCUUAGAAAAGUACUUUUUCACGCAUCUUCCUGCUGCUGUAACCUUCCUGAUUACACUUCAUUGCCUCUGACAAGCUUCACAUGCCAGGGAGUUCCCGUCUUCUAGCAUCAGUCAGCCCAGAUGUAAUGCAGCGUAGGUUAAAGAGCUAUUGACCCCCUUAUAGAAAACAGGGGAAAGUACUUCCAUAUUACUUUCUGUAUAGCACGUCGGGUCUCUGGAUGCUUGCCCCGCUCAAAACUGUUCAUUUGCUGCUCCCUUACUGGAGAUGAUAAUCUUCUCUGGCAGUGCAGUGGGGUGGGGGGAAUUUUAACAGCAAUGGGCUGUAAAGGUAGAGGGCUGGAAUAUAGAAUUAAGAAAUGUUUCUAUAUUUGCAAAUUAUGUUUGCACACCUGUGAAUAUUUAUGAUUCAGGGAACCUGCAUCCCUAUUUGUUUGUUUACAGACUGCCCGAUAACACAGUAGGCAACUUACUUUUUAUUUACUCUUGUUUUUAUAUUGUAUUACAAGAGCAAGAAAAAUCCAAAAAACCCACAGCAAACAGAACAAGCCUAUGCUGAUGUGAUAACCCUUGAUGGCUGGGGUUAAUGAGAACUGUAGUCCAAAGUAGCUAGAGUGCUUGAGGAAGGCUGAACUACACAAUUUUAAAAACUAAACAGUAGAGGUUUACAACUCCAUAGCAUUAACAAAUUAAAAACACAUAGCAGAAGAAUAAAAAUGCACAGAGCUAAAGCAGUACUUAACUACCACAAAAAUUAACAGGUCUGGGACAGCAGGAGUCUUUGCCUGGCAUUUACCGGAGUGUUUCACUAAUGAGUACAGACUUGGGGCUAUAAUCAAAACAAACAUGUACCAGUUGUGGUUUUCCUGAAAGAUCCUUCUUCGUACAGAAUCUGGGUGGCCGACAAUUAAGGCAAGAGUGGACCUUUCUCAGUUAAAAUAUAUUAAAAGAAUUGCCACUGUGCCUACUGAGUGUUUUCCUGCAAUUGGGUGAUAACCAACUCUGGAAAGCAGUGUGUCAAACUGUUUUAGACUAUUACCAUAAUUGUUUUCCAAAACUGAGCUCUGCUUUGACCUUGAGUAAGUGUGUCAACUAAGGGAUUGGCUCUUCUGGAUAACUAGGAACACCAAAAUUUCACCUUGGCACCCACUCCUGAUAAAAGCAUUUUAGUGUUAGUUAUGCCUUUAUUGAGCUACAUUUCCAGACUUAGCUAGGUCACUCCCCAUCACCUUUUCUACAUGCAAUCCUUGUCUUCAGGUACCUAAUAAUUUUGGAAUUUUCACCACUUUGGAACUAACCUAAGUUUUUUUGCCUGUGUUUCCUGAAUGCUGCAUGGAAAAGCACAUGAAUCUGACCUUGGAAAAGUUUGUAAGUAAACUGUUUUUAACUUACCAAAUAUUUGGUCCUUUUCUGUGCUAGGGGAAGUAGGAAACUCUGGAAGAAACUUAGAGGGUGUCUUUUAAAUGUCUAACAGCCUAUAUUUCCAUGUUUUACUUUGCUGCAUAUUUUGUGAUUUUUAAAAUCUCUGCUGGGGUUCUUUCACCAAAGAGUACCUGCCCCAGAUCUGGAUCCUGGCAUCUAGGAAAUUCUCUUUUUAUGUACCUAUUUUCCCUUGCCAACCAACAGCCAUGUGGUAUGCCAUCUUGCUGGAGCACUCACAGGAGCAACACCAGAACCAGUAUCCUCUUUGCAAAAAUUAUUUAUUGAAGAAAUGCAGCCUAGGUGUGUUUAUUGUGAUUUUCCUGCCCAAUCAAAAUCCUCUAGUAUGGUAAGUAGUGCACUGUGAGAAUCAUAGCCCUUGUUCUUCAAGUAUGGCACAAGGAAGUUUACUGCAUUUUUGUAGUGUGACAGUAACUAAAUAAAUAAGGAGUGUCUGUUGGUUCACUCUCAUCUAGCAGCCACUCCUGUGUAGUGAUGGGUUCAUUCCCAGAUCCUACUCCUAGAGUAACCUGAUAAACCAGAUGUGACUGGGUAGAAAAGAUGACCAUUCCAAUUGGUUAUAUGGAGCAAGGUGUGUAAGCAGUAUGCUGAUGACACUCUGCCCUCCUUCUCUAUUCCUCACAUCUCUGAGGUGAUAACAAGUCCAAUUUGACCAAUGUCUGGAAUUAUUAAGGGGCUGGAAAAAGGCCAGUCAACUGAAGCUGAAUCCUGGUAAGACAGAAGCCCUGUGGGCAAGUUGCUCCCAAGUUUGGGGAACUGGCAAGUUGCCUGUUCCUUGAUCAAGUUGCCCUCUCCCUGAAGGAGCAGGUAUAUAGUUUGAGAGUACUCCUAGAUCUAUCGCUGUCUCUGGAAGAACAGGUGUCCUCAGUGGCUAAGAGUGCUUUCUUCCAGCUGCCCAACCUCCCAGCAUCUUCUUCCCAUCAUUGCAUGGCAGGGGUGAUUUGCACUGGAAACUGCCUUAUUCUGAGUCUGGCCCAUUGGUCCAUCUCGCCCUGUUUUGUCUACACUGACUGGCAGCAGCUGUCCAGGGUUUCAGCCCUAUCUGGAGAUGCCAGGGAUUGAAAGCAGAUGUUCUACUGCUGAGCUAUGGACGCUUCUCAACAUGCAGAGCAGGCCUAUGCAGGUUGACACAGAAGUGUGUUCAAGAUUACAGCCUUAGUUAUCCAGGGGGUUCAGAAUGCUGUAUGUAUUUGAAUAACACUUAAACUGUUGCAGAUCCUCUCUUUAAUUCAAGUGCAGUGCUUUGAUCAUACAAAACUUGUGCUUUGCUUUUUUAAUUCCAGGAUCCUUGCACAGUUUUUGGACCAGCUGCCCCUUGUUUAUAUUCUGUUUCUUUCUCACACAUUCCUGCUGCGUAACCAGAAUGGGAAGCAAAGUGAACUUUGGAAACACCGCAGAAGUUCCAGUCCAUAACCUUCUGCUUCUGAGGGGGUCCUCUGGAAGUGAGUGGGGCUUCUUCGGAGUAAGACAUUUCAGUGGCUAGCCGGUUAUCUAAUCACCAUGCCCCGUGGUUGGACUUUUGGAAAGUUGUUCUACCUGCUGCACUUUAUCUCAAGGCCUUUGAGGUCACCCUUCCCACCUUUGGGUCUCCAGCCUCAGUAGCAGUGGUGAGAUCUUUGGAACAGAGGAGGAGCACACACACUCCCGUGAGACCUGGGAUUGGUCUGCCAUACAGAACUCUAUUAAAAGAAUCUCCAAAUGCAGUUGCAUCCUGAACCAAAAGAGCAAUUGCAGCCGUGCCAAAGAAGGAGCUGUAUAAACUUUCUGAAAGUACAAGCAUUCGGACCUGUUAUUGGCUUUUCUUUCAGCGGGAACCUGCCAGAACUCAGUCCCAGCACCUCUCAGCUUUCAAGCAUAGCAGAUUAGACAAGUAUAAGGUAAGCACUCUUAAAAACAACCUGCAAAAUGUACAGGAGGAGGUUUUACU